rnacentral:rRNA from 1 species
UACGUAGGGGGCAAGCGUUGUCCGGAUUUAUUGGGCGUAAAGAGCGUGUAGGCGGUUUGGUAGGUCCGUUGUGAAAACUCGAGGCUCAACCUCGAGACGCCGAUGGAAACCAUCAGACUAGAGUCCGGAAGAGGAGAGUGGAAUUCCUGGUGUAGCGGUGAAAUGCGCAGAUAUCAGGAAGAACACCCGUGGCUAAGGCGGCUCUCUAGUACGGUACUGACGCUGAGACGCGAAAGCGUGGGGGGCAAACAGG